rnacentral:lncRNA from 1 species
CGUCUGCCUCAUCGUCGUCACACACGGCCUUCGACACCAUUCGCCUCGUCGUCGACUCCGGUCUCGUGUUCUCGGCCACUCGACAGCGACCUCCGUGGUGCAGGCGCAGGCUCGACAUGGAGCAGGCUCCGAGCUCUGCACCAAGCAUGGACACCAGCAUCAUUCGCCCCGCCGUUGAGUCCGCCCUUGUAUUCUCUGCUGCUUGGGAGCGACCUUCGCGGUGGAGGCGAAGGCCCGCAGCGCCCCUUCCUC